GCUCUGAUUGGCUUCUAAUCUUGACACGUGUCGAGUAGUGAUUGGCCUCCUGGUCGGAGGGGAACUCUUCUGGGUCCUUGACAGUAUAACGUUGGCCGGUGCUCGGUAGUUUCGGGAUUGGUCAAGUAUGGUACAAACAGUGCUCCCCUAAGUUCCCGAGUGAGGGAAACUCCUCGGUUGGGGACUUGCAAGAUCCAAUCCCUUGAGUAAUCAC
rnacentral:lncRNA from 1 species